UACAGAGGCCUCGAGCGUUAGGCGGAAUCACUGGGCUUAAAGCGCGUGUAGGCGGAUCGUUAAGUACCUUGUGAAAUCCCACGGCUCAACCGUGGAACUGCUGGGUAUACUGGCGGUCUUGGGCCAUCUAGGGGUUGCCGGAACAAGCGGUGGAGCGGUGAAAUGCGUAGAUAUCGCUUGGAACGCCAAAGGUGAAGACAGGCAACUGGAGAUGCGC
rnacentral:rRNA from 1 species